GACGAACGCUGGCGGCGUGCUUAACACAUGCAAGUCGAGCGGAGCGGCGAACGGGUGAGUAACGCGUGAGUAACUGCCCCCCUCUCUGGGAUAACAGUUGGAAACCGCUGCUAAUACCGGAUAGUGGGGGAUGACUCGCGUCCUAUCAGCUUGUUGGGGGGGUAGUGGCCUACCAAGGCGACGACUGGUAGCCGGCCUGAGAGGGCGACCGGCCACCUUGGGCUGAGAUACGGCCCAAAAUCCUACGGGAGGCAGGAGGGGGGAAUAUUGCACAAUGGAGGAAAACCUGAUGCAGAAACGCCGCGUGCGGGAGGACGGCCUUCGGGUUGUAAACCGCUUUCAGCCAUGACGCGGUAGUGGCAGAAGAAGCACCGGCAAACUACGUGCCAGCCGCCGCGGUGAUUC
rnacentral:rRNA from 1 species